AAACUCAUACUCGCACCCAUUUUUUAUGAAAAAAUUUCUUCCAAACCCAUAGUUUACAAAAUUAGGUUUCUGUCUUUCUUAUAUUUUUCUUCUUCUUCUUUAAUUCAUUUUCUUCUUCCUCUCCGUUCUACUGUGUGUUCCCGAUGAGCAAAAUUAUCCAUCGGGAAAAACCUAAAAAUCAAAUCAGUGAAUAUGAAUUGUUGUUGGUGACUGAGCAAUUGAGAAGAAUUUGUUAUUGGGUUUCUGUUGCAAUUACCAGUUCUUGAGCAAUUGAGAAGAAACUAAACAGUGGAGAAGACAAAGUCUUCAGGAUUUGGCUAAGGAGCUCUUCACGAUCCAGGUAAGGAGUUAAUCUUUCCAAUCUUUCCUUCGUAUAAUUAUCUCCUCAAUCUCUCUAUCUAUCUACCCUCCCUUCACAGCAGAAGAACUCUAUGCGAUUUGAAAAUUAGGGCACAUUUUGUUUGCUUUGUGUUUGUAAAGUUCGUGGUUCUUAUCGAAAUUGACCCAAAGUUUCUCUACAUGUUUGUUUGCCAACUAAGUUCUCUGUUCAAAACUUGAGUCAAAUGAUUGAGAAAUGUUUCAUUUUUUAUCAGAAAUUUUUAGAUGCAUUUUGUUUGAUAUAUACAUCUUCCAAACUGAUCUUAUUUUGAUCGAAUUGAUGGAUAUCAUUUAGUAAUUCGUUUUACUGUGUUAAUUUUUGUUUCAUAUAAUUUUUUUGAGCAAGAGGAGGAAAACGAAAUGGGAUUUACACGGAAGAAUUCUGGCUACUAAAAUGAUGGCUUUGCUGAAUGCUGAAGAUAAUGAGUAUCUGGAUGGGGUGGAACCAUCAUUAGAAUUUGUGAUGACUUCUACUGACAUAACAACCACUGUUGCUCCUGCAACUCUUUUAGAAUGCAACAAUGAAAAAGGAUUUUCAUCAAAAAAACAUUGAUUCAAUCUUCAUUGUGUGGCGUUCUACUAAAAAGGGUCAUAGAGGAUGAGGUUACAUUGGAGAGAAAGAUAAGUCUAUCUCUGGUAUAUUGCUUUUGUUUAAAUUACGGGGUUCGGAUUUUUCGUGUCAACAAUGAGCAAAGCCAUUUUAGUGCUGACAUUAGCAUAUUAAGGGGUUAGUGGUGUUUUUUCGGGAGUUAAUUGGGGAGAGGAAGUUUGGAUUGAGAUUGGGUUCAUGUUUGGUGAAAGUCAGUGGAAAUAGGCAUGCUACUGCCAAGGUUUCGAAGUGGUCUCAGUUGAGAGCAACAAACAAAAAUUUGUAGCUGCGAUUGCACAAUUUUCUUGCCUGUUAUAGCCACUGCUCGACGGCUGUGUAGGAGGGGUAUUACGCAAUGGCCAAUAGAUGUUUUUGAUAACCACAGGAAGAGAAGAUAUGUGCAUAGAUUGGUUAGCUUUGGGUCUGUUUGUGCCGAUAAGCCAGCCAAGAAAAGGUAGCUUUGGUCGUUUUUUUAUGCGAAAAGGUUGCAGAAAUAACAACCUGGUGGCACUAGUUUCGGAUGUCGGAUGUUGAAAUUAAAACUGGGAAUCCUAAAGCUUCACUGAAUCAUAAAGUGGUACAAGUCAGAAGAUAAAAUUGGUGGCGGGAUAUACGAGUUUCCAGUCACGCUUUUGAUCAAAUUACAAUUUAUUUGGAUAGAACUUGAACUCAAUUGCAAAUAGUGGAAUUUGUUUUACAUUAGGAAAGUAUGUUAGUAUUUGUAUAUUUGAAUAAUAUGUUAUGAGCUAUGGAA